ensembl:lncRNA
UAUAUAUAUAUAUAUAUAUAUAAAUUCCCCUCGCCAUAUCAUAGGUGCGGUGCGUCAUGAGUUCCUGCAUGCAUUCAAAAAUUUAUUGAGUGUCUGGGAUAAAGCAGAAAAUGUUUCUUUAGCUGGAAUGAAAUGCCAGUGUUCGUAAAUUUGUAAUUCGAAGUGAACCCAGGAUAUACGGGAAUGUUUUAUUUGUCUGAUUAUUUUUAAUUCAUUCACAAUUGAUGGAGUUUUAACAUGAAUUCUCAGUUGAGGCCUUAUCCUGUGAUUGCUGUGUAAAACUCUGAUGGUGUUUUUCCAGUAUUUUAACAAAUCUUAUUAAUCCUUCAGACCCUUAAACUGUUUUUUUUUUUCUUUAAAUUGAAGCACAAAAUAGCACUUUUUUUUAAAUAGAAUUCGACUGUGUGUGUGUGUGUGUGUGUGUGUGUGUGUGUGUGUGUGUCAUCAAUCAAGCCCUGAAUGUACUAUCAGUUGUAGAUUAAAUUUACUGUGAUUUUUUCAGCCAUUAUAGCAACCCUUCUUCUGGUUUUCUUUCAAAUAUUCAGACAAGAGUGUUAACCACUACUACUCGGUUUAUAUUUUUGGAUCAAACAAAAGAGACUGCAAGAAAGAUUGUCCACUCCUCUCAUUUUUUUUUCUUCUAUGUAUAUUACUUUUCAGUACUGUGAGAAAACAUUUGAUGGUGUAAGGGGAAUGCUCACCUUUGAAAUGAGGUUUUGUUCAUUGAUCAUCUUUCUCAGCGAAUCACUGUGUUACAAUCCAGCAUCUCCUCAGAUUGUAAUCAAAUAAAGGAUUAUGAUAUGGUUAUGGAAUUAAAUACAAGGGUUGGUAAAACAAUGGGAAAGAGAUAAUAUAUGGGAAAAGUUUAAUAGUUUUCAAUGUUUUUAAAAGGACUAAAUUCUAGAGACCAGUCUGUUUCUAUUGCAAGUAUUGAAUGCCUCACUUUAAGUUUUGAAAGCUUACAAGACCUCUAACACAUGAAGGUCAUGUAAAAAAAAAAAAAAAAACAAAAAACCAACAACAACAACAAAAAAACACGGAACAUUUUAGAUUUGUAGAGAACGGACUCAAAUCAAAAUGGUGCUCCAUAAGCUCCACUAUGCUAGAACAUCUGACAGUUCUUCCGUUUCCAUACUAAACUCUACAUUGCCUGAUGUAGCAAACUAGACAAAAUGUCAUCCAACUCCAUAUUAAUCAUCAAACUAUAUAAAGCUGAGUGCUUUCAGCAUGCCUUAAAUCUAGAAAUAGUUAACUGUGGCACAUGCAGAAAUAUGUCAGUAUCCAUUCUUUCAGUAAGAAACAAAACACAAUGGGGGUGUGCUGUUAUAGGAAAAUAAAAAUAUAAAAUGAACGAGACCUGAACUGAAGUUCAGCCCAGAAGUUGAUCGUUUUCCAAAAACAGGACACCCGAAGUCUUUUACUUCCGCCCAACUGUUCGCAAUUUUCCCAACAGUUCGAUUUUUUUUAUUUAUUAUUUCCAUCACCAGCGCCUCUUUUUUCUUUCUGUUAAAGUUAAUAAGACAAACAAACAAAAAAAAUCAAACAACAAGAAGAACAACAACAACAACAAAAAACAGCUCUCAGGUUGUCCAGAAAGCCCAAAGUCCAUUACGCAAAACGACAAGUUACAAAGCGUUGACACGAAACAUCUUCUCAGCAUUUCAACGACGAGACACGUGACAUCACGUCCCUGUGAAUUAGUUACUAUAGAAAUGAUAAAAAUAUCAACCAUGCAGCUGAACUUUUGAGAAUUUAACAGCACUGUGGUAUAAUAUUGUUUAUUUCACAAUUGAAUCCUGUACAUUUGUUGACCGAAUACAUCCUGGGUCUUAAAAUGUGUUAAAAGUUGUUCCGGUUUUAAAAUGCCUUGUCCCUCCUGCUUUACUUUUCCAUCACCAAAGAUUCAACAGCUUUAUUAUGUUCUUUAUUUGUCAUGUGGUUCCAAACCCCAAACCCACCCCCCACCCCCCCCCACCCGCGUUGACAUGGUCUCUAAUUUUGUAUUUUUCUAUUGCUAUGUAUAAUUAUGUCUGUGUUGCGAUCUUUUGAGUGGUCUUGUCAUCUGAUCCUUGUUAGCAGUAGCACCACUGUGGAUCAAUGUCGUAUUUAAAAAACAAAUUCAAAUUAGUUUUGUUUAUUAGUACACUGUACUAAUAAAAUCUCAUCAGUCUCUAUCGCUUUACAACUGCUUGUGUUGUGUCUUGGGUCUUUAUUUCGAGAUUUUAAUAAAGAUUUGUAGAACUGGAUUCCAAAUUUAAAAGCUUUACUCCAUCUUGCGCUGCAAAUCCAUCAAGCAAGAAAAC